GUCUGCAUAUUCAAGGCUGCCCACGGCACACAUUUGCCCAGCUUAGAACUAAAAGUCUCCAUCCUCUCCUCUCCCUAUCUGUCUAUCUCCGUCUCCCUCCCUCUCUGUCAUUUUCCCCCAUUCCCACACCUCUGAGGAAGGACGAAUAACAGGAGGACUUUGAAGAACCAGAGCCAGGAGCCGAGAGACCAGUCCUUCCCCUUCAGAAGAGCCCAAGAGUGGAAUCUGGAUCUGGUAUGAGACAAAUCAGAAGAGAAGCUGAGUUGAUGUGCUGUGAGAGAACGCCCCCUUGUUUGUGA
rnacentral:lncRNA from 1 species